rnacentral:rRNA from 1 species
GAUGAACGCUGGCGGCGUGCCUAAUACAUGCAAGUCGAGCGAACAGACGAGAGUGCUUGCACUCUCUGACGUUAGCGGCGGACGGGUGAGUAACACGUGUGUAACCUACCUAUAAGACUGGGAUAACUUCGGGAAACCGGAGCUAAUACCGGAUAAUAUUUAGCUUCGCAUGAAGCAAUAGUGAAAGACGGUUCUGCUGUCACUUAUAGAUGGACCCGCGGUGUAUUAGCUGGUUGGUGAGGUAACGGCUCACCAAGGCAACGAUACAUAGCCGACCUGAGAGGGUGAUCGGCCACACUGGGACUGAGACACGGCCCAGACUCCUACGGGAGGCAGCAGUAGGGAAUCUUCCGCAAUGGACGAAAGUCUGACGGAGCAAUGCCGCGUGAGUGAAGAAGGUUUUCGGAUCGUAAAACUCUGUUGUAAGGGAAGAACAAGUACGUUAGUAACUGAACGUACCUUGACGGUACCUUACCAGAAAGCCACGGCUAACUACGUG